rnacentral:rRNA from 1 species
CCUACGGGAGGCUUCAGUGAGGAAUAUUGGUCAAUGGACGCAAGUCUGAACCAGCCAUGCCGCGUGCAGGAAGACGGCUCUAUGAGUUGUAAACUGCUUUUGUACGAGGGUAAACGCAGAUACGCGUAUCUGUCUGAAAGUAUCGUACGAAUAAGGAUCGGCUAACUCCGUGCCAGCAGCCGCGGUAAUACGGAGGAUUCAAGCGUUAUCCGGAUUUAUUGGGUUUAAAGGGUGCGUAGGCGGUCGGAUAAGUUAGAGGUGAAAUCCCGAGGCUCAACUUCGGAAUUGCCUCUGAUACUGUUCGACUAGAGAGUAGUUGCGGUAGGCGGAAUGUAUGGUGUAGCGGUGAAAUGCUUAGAGAUCAUACAGAACACCGAUUGCGAAGGCAGCUUACCAAGCUACUUCUGACGUUGAGGCACGAAAGCGUGGGGAGCAAACAGGAUUAGAUACCCGGGUAGUC